rnacentral:lncRNA from 1 species
UAUCACAACCUCUUCUUCUUCUCUUCCUCUUCUUCUUCUUCUCCUCUUCAAAUGCCCCACACCUCUCCUCUGUUCCCACCUGCAGGAAACAGAGGUGCUGCUGCCCUAGCUGCUGCCACCUCUCGCUCCUCUCCCUCUUCCCUCUCUUUUCCCUCUUCUUCUCCUUCUCUUCUUCUCCUCUUCCCUUUUCCUCCCCAACGCCACACACCUCCUCGCUGUAGCCUUGCCGCAGCUAUCCUCCUCUCUUCUUCUUCUUCUUCUUCUUCUUCUUCUUCUUCUUCUCACCAUGCCCCACCGCUCCUCUCUAUUUCUCGAGAAAUAGAGAGCGUGGGAGGCGGUGGGAUAAAACCGAAAUUUUUGAUUUUCUUUUUUCUUUUGUAACUUAACAGUUUAGUCCUUGAAAUUUCUAUAUUUACAUAUAGAUCCUCCGAUUUAUAAAUAAAUCUUUAUUAAUAAUUUUCAAAAGUGAGGGAUAUUACACUCUCCCCUCCUUAAAAAAAAAUUUAGUCCUCUAAAUUGAUCAUAACUCAAUCGAUGAAAAGAUAAGAUUAUGAUUUCUUUAUUUCCUCCUCCUGCUCUUAAAUAGUUUCAUCAAAAUAAUAUAAUUACACAAUUAUCCAAGAGUGACCGAAAUAUUCUCCUCCUUGGUCCUCAAUAGAUGGUAUCCCGACCUUCAAUCAAUCUUCGAAAAUAUUUGUGCACUCUGCAGUUAAUCAAACAAGUCAUCAUUUUAGAGAAUACUCGUUUUUUAUGGUCACCUAAUUCAACUGUCUAUAAUUAAUACAAAGCCUCAAUGUUCCCUCCAUCUUUUUAACUAACACCGGAGCACCCCAUGAUGAAAUAUUAAGCCAAAUAAAAUACUUAUUUAAUAGUCCUUGUAGUUGCUUUUUCAAUUCCACUUACUCAAAUGAUAUCAUUCUAUAGAGAGGCUUAGAUAUUGGGAUUGUCCCAAGGACCAAAUCAAAAGCAAAGUCACGUUUGGAGGUAAUCCAAGCAAGUCAUCCUGGGAUACAUUAGGCAAGGAGAUAAAUCAUGUCCAAUACUCUCAAAAUAAAAGAUCGACUGAUCAAAUAUGCAAAAAGUGAUCAUUUGUUAUAUACCAAUCCAUACUGGUAUGAUAGGAAGAUAGUCAAUCCAUACCAAGUAUAAUAUCGAAACUCAAAAUCUCUAGGAGAACUAAAUCAGCAAAAAGUUUAAGUUCUCCAAUAAAAUCAGACAAGAGGACCAGAUUCAAGUUCGUUAUCAAAGAAUCUCCAAUGAUUGUAUUUACAUAUAUCGCAUAAUGUAGUGGUCUAGGUUGAAUGCCCAAGUGAUAAGCAAAAUAUUAUGAAUCAAAUCGUAGAUAGGACCCAUGGUCAAACAAAUAUUUGCAUUCUUUCAUAAACAUGAAUAAUACCUUCGACCACUAAUUUAGAAGUUUUAGAAUCAUAUUCAGUGAUAGCAUACACUCUAACAUAGGCUGAUGAUUUAAGAGGCAGUGACUCUUUCUUCUUAUUCAAGGGGCAGUCUCUUAUUUUAUGAUCCAACUUUCCACAAGCAAAAUAGACUCCAAUCACCCGGAAACAUAAAUUUGUUUCAUAAUUUAACCUGCAAUUCACACAUGAUUGAGUCUUUUGUGGUGACUUCCCAUUUCAAAUCCAAAUGUAUUGACCCUCUUGUUAUUACUUUCUGAUUCAUUUCCAAUCAUAUUUUUAUUGGUAAACUUGUCCUUAUCAUUCUUGCCACUGAUAUCCAAAAAUUCUUUUCAUUGUUUCAUUCUUGCCUCUACUUCCAAUAUAAGGUGGCAAAAGAAAUCUUUCGAUCAUCAGAACAAUUUUGUACAUCAAAUAUCUUCUCUGUUUGCAUUAUCCAUUUUUCUACCACCAAUGAAAUUAGGUUCACCUUGCUUUCAUUGCGCUACUCUGAUUUAGUAUUCUCGAUCAACCCUUUCAUCCCCCUUAAUUAAUCAGAAAUAAAUGAAAUAGGAUGACCAUAUGUCCUCAUCAUCCUAGAUUCCUAAAAUGCAUCAAAGAAAAUUUCCACCAAUCAUUAUAGUUCACUAGACCUCAAUAUAUUUUGCACGUCAACAUAUCAAAUAUUUCAGUGAUCCUCAAAUCAUACUCUGAUACCACCUCUCGCUCCUCUCCCUCUUCCCUCUCUUUUCCCUCUUCUUCUCCUUCUCUUCUUCUCCUCUUCCCUUUUCCUCCCCAACGCCACACACCUCCUCGCUGCAGCCUUGCCGCAGCUAUCCUCCUCUCUUCUUCUUCUUCUUCUUCUUCUUCUUCUUCUUCUUCUUCUCCCCACGCCCCACCGCUCCUCUCUGUUUCUCGAGAAAUAGAGAGCGUGGGAGGCGGUGGGAUAAAACCGAAAUUUUUGGUUUUCUUUUUUU